UACAAGUACCCGUGAGGGAAAGUUGCAAAGAACUUUGAAGAGAGAGUUCAAGAGGGCGUGAAACCGUUUGGAAGUAAACGGAUGGGGCUGACGUUGACUCAUGGGAUUCAGCCAAUCGCGGCGUGUUCCGCGGCUGGUGCAUUUCUUUUGAGGCCUACGGCGGAGGUGGUUUUGUGCGGCUGGUUAUGGAGUCGGGGUGGCCAGGCGUCUGGUGUCUGCGACUCUAUGAAAGCGUGUCACCGGAACUAUGGAAAGUUGCACGCGUUUUUACUCGGGGCGGUGCUGAAGCUUCCGAUGGAUGAAUCGCUUCUCUGCGUGACAGGGAGCGACUGUGCGUAGUAGCCGAAGCCCGUCGGCGAUUGUGCAGCGACUCUGCUGAUUUGUCGGUUACCUAUCCGACCCGUCUUGAAACACGGACCAAGGAGUUUAACAUGUGCGCGAGUUAUUGGGCGGUAAACUCAAAGGCGCAAUGAAAGUGAUGGAUUGUUCUAUGAUAUGGGAUCCCGCUGGCAACAGUGGGCGCACCAUAUUCCCGCUUUUUCUGCAUCGCCAGUUAAGCGGAGAAAGAGCGUACAUGUUGAGACCCGAAAGAUGGUGAACUAUGCCUGAGCAGGACGAAGCCAGAGGAAACUCUGGUGGAGGUUCAUAGCGGUUCUGACGUGCAAAUCGAUCGUCGGACUCGGGUAUAGGGGCGAAAGACUAAUCGAACCAUCUAGUAGCUGGUUCCCUUCGCAA
rnacentral:rRNA from 1 species